rnacentral:rRNA from 1 species
UAGGGAAUCUUCCGCAAUGGACGAAAGUCUGACGGAGCAACGCCGCGUGAGUGAAGAAGGAUUUCGGUUCGUAAAACUCUGUUGUUAGGGACGAAAAAAUGUAUAGUAACUAUAUACAAAAGAGACGGUACCUAACCAGAAAGCCACGGCUAACUACGUGCCAGCAGCCGCGGUAAUACGUAGGUGGCAAGCGUUGUCCGGAAUUAUUGGGCGUAAAGCGCGCGCAGGUGGUUUAGAAAGUCUGAUGUGAAAGCCCACGGCUCAACCGUGGAGGGUCAUUGGAAACUAAUAAACUUGAGUGCAGGAGAGAAAAGUGGAAUUCCUAGUGUAGCGGUGAAAUGCGUAGAGAUUAGGAGGAACACCGGUGGCGAAAGCGGCUUUUUGGCCUGCAACUGACACUGAGGCGCGAAAGCGUGGGGAGCAAACAGG